GGGGUUCUGAGAGGAAGUUAAGUAUUCCACCUGGGGAGUACGCCGGCAACGGUGAAACUCAAAGGAAUUGACGGGGGCCCGCACAAGCGGAGGAACAUGUGGUUUAAUUCGAUGAUACGCGAGGAACCUUACCUGGGCUUAAAUUGCAAUUGACAGAGGCCGAAACGCCUCUUUCUUCGGACAAUUGUGAAGGUGCUGCAUGGUUGUCGUCAGCUCGUGCCGUGAGGUGUCGGCUUAAGUGCCAUAACGAGCGCAACCCUCAUUAUUAGUUACUAACAGGUUAAGCUGAGGACUCUAAUAAGACUGCCGUCGUAAGAUGUGAGGAAGGUGGGGAUGACGUCAAAUCAGCACGGCCCUUACGUCCAGGGCCACACACGUGUUACAAUGGGUGAAACAGAGGGCAGCUACCUAGCGAUAGGAUGCUAAUCCCAUAAAAUCACUCUCAGUUCGGAUUGAAGUCUGCAACUCGACUUCAUGAAGCUGGAUUCGCUAGUAAUCGCGCAUCAGCCACGGCGCGGUGAAUACGUUCCCGGGCCUUGUACACACCGCCCGUCAAGCCAUGGGAGCUGGGGGUACCUGAAGUACGUAACCGCAAGGAGCGUCCUAGGGUAAAUCUGGUGACUGGGGCUAAGUCGUAACAAGGUAGCCGUACCGGAAGGUGCGGCUGGAACACCUCCUUC
rnacentral:rRNA from 1 species